rnacentral:tRNA from 1 species
GGGGAUUUAGCUCAGUGGUAGAGCACUUGCCUAGCAAGCACAAGGCCCUGGGUUUGAUCCCCACCUCCG